rnacentral:rRNA from 1 species
UAGGGAAUCUUCGGCAAUGGACGAAAGUCUGACCGAGCAACGCCGCGUGAGUGAAGAAGGUUUUCGGAUCGUAAAACUCUGUUGUUAGAGAAGAACAAGGACGUUAGUAACUGAACGUCCCCUGACGGUAUCUAACCAGAAAGCCACGGCUAACUACGUGCCAGCAGCCGCGGUAAUACGUAGGUGGCAAGCGUUGUCCGGAUUUAUUGGGCGUAAAGCGAGCGCAGGCGGUUUCUUAAGUCUGAUGUGAAAGCCCCCGGCUCAACCGGGGAGGGUCAUUGGAAGCUGGGAGACUUGAGUGCAGAAGAGGAGAGUGGAAUUCCAUGUGUAGCGGUGAAAUGCGUAGAUAUAUGGAGGAACACCAGUGGCGAAGGCGGCUCUCUGGUCUGAAACUGACGCUGAGGAUCGAAAGCGUGGGGAUCAAACAGG